UGCCUUUGGAGUGACAAGGACAUGUUCUGAGCGAUCACUGGUCCUAGUUAGAGAGAGUUCUGGAGACCCACAGACUGAAGCAGGACUGCUCCAGCCAACCUGCAGACCUAUAGCUCUCUGGACCCACAGCAACUAGAAACAGCCCAAGGGAGUCUUCCUCCAAAUCCCUUGGGUCUUUCACUUGGGGCUGGCGGGUGCACAGCAGGGCCAGUGUGCGUCGUGGACCAGAACAGAGAGGCUGGAGUAAGGGUGUGCAAGGCCAUCAUCCGUCCGCCUCUGAGGACCUUUUUGCGUCUCUCCCGGGGCAAACAGGAGACAGAACAUUUAUGCUGCUGGAAAUGGUCCAGUAGCUGUCACAAAAGUGAUGACGAUGCAGGAGAGAGAGGCUGUUGCUGGAGUGAGGACCAUGGUUGGUGGAAGGGAGGGUCUGGUGGCCCGGAUGGUCUACCUCAGAAAAGGCAGAGUUUAUGGGCGCAGCGUGUCAGGCAAGAAAGGAUUGCGAGGCCUGCCCUGGGCACCUUUCAGUUAUCUCUGCCUUUCACUGUCAUUGUGCUUUUUACAACUUGACAAGUUGUAGAACACUUAUAAUGAAGCAAAUAAUUCCUGUCCAUCGAAAUGCAAAUGAACUAUGGCUCCUGGAAAGCAAUUUACGACCCGCCCCGUGGACAAGCUGGCUUUGCAUCUAUUUGCAUAUUCAUUUCAGCAUUCUUCAUUGUGAUUCUUUCAAUUCUCCUUUAAACCACAGGUAACAUCUUACUGGUUCCCUCAUUAAUUAGUGAGUGGAAUGAGAUCUUUGGCACAUGCUCAUUUUAUGUUUGUAUGAGAGUCAUUAUUUACCUUAAAAAAAUCCUUUUGCAAGAUGCCAACAGAUGUGAUGAAAUAAAAUUCCUAAUUGAUGGCAAGAAGAGAAAAAUUUAAAUACAAAUUUUUUCUUUGCCCUUUUGGGCCUCCUCCCUCCCCUUUAGUGUGUAUUGUGUGUCUGCACUCACCAGACCUCCUUAAGAGAGACCACUGCUUCUUUAUUUCAUCAGGGGUUAUAACUCCUUAGGAGAUAAUCUUUCUUCUUAACCUUGUAAGGGGCCGUGAUGAACCAUGACCCACUACUCACUUUGUACAUGCAGAUCUGGGAUGUGUAAACUGUCAGUAAUGAGUCCUUUGAUGUGUCACCCUUUACCUCAAAAACUUGCAUAACUGUGCUUUGACCUCGAACAGGCAGAACGGUCCUCAGAGUUUUCUGAAAGACUGUUUCCUGGCUUAUAAUCCCCACUCAGGUAGGUGCGGAUAUAAUUUUCCAUUUCUCUCUCAGAUGGACUAUUGAUGAAUUUUUUUGCCGACAGAUGGUGGAUGUCUUUGCAAACUCUCUUCUGAUGGAUUAAAUUUUCCCCUGAUACUGGCGCUCUGAGCAAAAGCAGACCCCCUCUGAAACCCUUGCCUGGGAAGCGCCUGAGUGACAGGAGGGACACACGGGUCACCUGGAGGUAUUCUGCAGGUGUGCCCAUGAGCUGAGUCUUGACCAGGCAAUGGCCCAGCCCUCCCCAGAGGGCCAGGCCCCUGGGCCUGUGUGUGUUGGAGGGAGCCUCGAUUUCUAC